rnacentral:rRNA from 1 species
GACGAACGCUGGCGGCGUGCUUAACACAUGCAAGUCGAACGGAAAGGCCCUGCGUUUGUUGGGUGCUCGAGUGGCGAACGGGUGAGUAACACGUGAGUAACCUGCCCUUGACUGUGUGAGAACUUCAGGAAACUGGGGCUAAUAUCGCGUAGAAGCUCCUGCUGCAUAGUGGGGGUUGGAAAGUGUCGGCGGUUGUGGCUGGACUCGCGGCUUAUGAGCUUGUUGGUGGGGUAGUUGCUUACCAAGGCUUUGACGGGUAGCCGGCCUGAGAGGGGGACCGGCCACCUUGGGCCUGAGAUACGGCCCAGACUCCUACGGGAGGCAGCAGUGGGGAAUAUUGCACAAUGGGCGGAAGCCUGAUGCAGCAACGCCGCGUGCGGGAUGACGGCCUUCGGGUUGUAAACCGCUUUCGCCUGUGACGAAGCGUGAGUGACGGUAAUGGGUAAAGAAGCACCGGCUAACUACGUG